UGGUUUAGUAUCGAACUUGGCAGUCUUGGGGUAAAGGCUGGACUUGAUCUUAAAGGUCUUUUCCAACCUGGUUGAUUCUAUGAUUCUAGAUCAAAUGG